GUGGGGAAUCUUGCACAAUGCACGAAAGUGUGAUGCAGCAACGCCGCGUGCGGGAAGACGGCCUUCGGGUUGUAAACCGCUUUCAGUUGGGACGAAGCUUCGUUGGUUAAUAGCCACGCGGAGUGACGGUACCUUCACAAGAAGCCCCGGCUAACUACGUGCCAGCAGCCGCGGUAAUACGUAGGGGGCAAGCGUUGUCCGGAAUCAUUGGGCGUAAAGCGCGUGUAGGCGGCUCGAUAAGUCUGCUGUGAAAGUCCAGGGCUCAACCCUGGGAUGCCGGUGGAUACUGUCGAGCUCGAGUCCGGAAGAGGAGUGUGGAAUUCCUGGUGUAGCGGUGAAAUGCGCAGAUAUCAGGAGGAACACCAAUGGCGAAGGCAGCACUCUGGGACGUGACUGACGCUGAGACGCGAAAGCGUGGGGAGCAAACAGGAUUAGAUACCCUUGUAGUCC
rnacentral:rRNA from 1 species